rnacentral:pre_miRNA from 3 species
UGGCGCGGACAUUUUCUUUGGUUAUCUAGCUGUAUGAGUUUGGUUGUACAUCAUAAAGCUAGGUUACCGGAGUUGAGAUCCUCGCCA